rnacentral:rRNA from 1 species
UACGGAGGAUGCAAGCGUUAUCCGGAAUGAUUGGGCGUAAAGCGUCCGCAGGUGGCUAUGUAAGUCUGCUGUUAAAGAGUGAGGCUCAACCUCAUAAAAGCAGUGGAAACUACAUGGCUAGAGUGCGUUCGGGGCAGAGGGAAUUCCUGGUGUAGCGGUGAAAUGCGUAGAGAUCGGGAAGAACAUCGGUGGCGAAAGCGCUCUACUGGACCGCAACUGACACUCAGGGACGAAAGCUAGGGGAGCGAAUGGG